rnacentral:rRNA from 1 species
UAUAAAGUGGCGAACGGCUGAGUAACACGUGGGCAACCUGCCCUUUGCACUGGGAUAGCCUCGGGAAACCGAGGUUAAUACCGGAUACUCCAUAUUUGUCGCAUGGCGAAUAUGGGAAAGCUCCGGCGGCAAAGGAUGGGCCCGCGGCCUGUUAGCUAGUUGGUGGGGUAGUGGCCUACCAAGGCAAUGAUGGGUAGCCGGGUUGAGAGACCGACCGGCCAGAUUGGGACUGAGACACGGCCCAGACUCCUACGGGAGGCAGCAGAU